rnacentral:tRNA from 1 species
UACCGUGUAGCUCAGUUGGUCAGAGCAGGAGAUGUGUUUAGUUAUGAUUAUGGGGAGGCCGCGAAAGCGCUGAUGAUCUUAGUAACUGGCAUGAGUACCCUAGUCGAAGGUUCGAGCCCUUCCACGGUAA